CCCAGACUCCUACGGGAGGCAGCAGUGGGGAAUAUUGCACAAUGGGGGGAACCCUGAUGCAGCGACGCCGCGUGGGUGAAGGAGCACCUCGGUGCGUAAAGCCCUAUCGGCAGGGAAGAAAAUGACGGUACCUGAAGAAGAAGCCCCGGCUAACUACGUGCCAGCAGCCGCGGUAAUACGUAGGGGGCAAGCGUUAUCCGGAUUUACUGGGUGUAAAGGGGGCGCAGACGGCGAUGCAAGCCAGGAGUGAAAGCCCGGGGCCCAACCCCGGGACUGCUCUUGGAACUGCGUGGCUGGAGUGCAGGAGGGGCAGGCGGAAUUCCUGGUGUAGCGGUGAAAUGCGUAGAUAUCAGGAGGAACACCGGUGGCGAAGGCGGCUUACUGGACAGUAACUGACGUUGAGGCUCGAAAGCGUGGGGAGCAAACAGGAUUAGAUACCCGUGUAC
rnacentral:rRNA from 1 species